AGCAGUCGCCGCGGUAAUACGGAGGGUGCAAGCGUUAAUCGGAAUUACUGGGCGUAAAGCGCACGCAGGCGGUCUGACAAGUCAGAUGUGAAAUCCCCGGGCUUAACCUGGGAACUGCAUUUGAAACUGUCAGGCUGGAGUCUUGUAGAGGGGGGUAGAAUUCCAGGUGUAGCGGUGAAAUGCGUAGAGAUCUGGAGGAAUACCGGUGGCGAAGGCGGCCCCCUGGACAAAGACUGACGCUCAGGUGCGAAAGCGUGGGGAGCAAACAGGAUUAGAUACCCGGGUAGUCCCUGUCUCUUAUAC
rnacentral:rRNA from 1 species